GACGAACCGUGCGAACGUUGUUCGGAAUCACUGGGCUUAAAGGGCGCGUAGGCGGCCGGGUUGGUCGUGGGUGAAAUCCCCCAGCUUAACUGGGGAAUUGCCUACGAUACUGCCUGGCUCGAGGGAGGAAGGGGCGGCCGGAACUGUCGGUGGAGCGGUGAAAUGCGUUGAGAUCGACAGGAACGCCGGUGGCGAAAGCGACCGACUGGACCUCUUCUGACGCUGAGGCGCGAAAGCCAGGGGAGCGAACGGG
rnacentral:rRNA from 1 species